UGACAAAUCCGUUCGGCUAUG
rnacentral:piRNA from 1 species